ACUGUCCCUAGAGGCUUUGCAGGUGUGGCUGCUGAGCCACAUGUGUGUCAGUGGAUGGCUGAGAGGAGGAAGGCUAUGUCUACGAUAGGUGUUCUGACCUGUGAAUGUCAGAAUGAUAGUGCCUGUCUUA